rnacentral:rRNA from 1 species
AUGGCGUGUGUUACUUCUGUCAGAUACUCAGUAAAGUUCAAUGGCAAGUUACUGGAUUCAUUUUCCCCCUCGAGGGGGCUGCGACAAGGUGACCCUCUGUCCCCCUUUCUGUUCUUAUUUGUGGCUGAUGCCCUUUCUGCCUUGAUCAGUAAAUCUAUGAGGGAAGGGGGUCUGCAAGGGGUGAAAAUCUGUCGUGGAGCUCCUCAGAUUUCUCAUCUUCUUUUCGCGGAUGAUUCGCUGUUAUUUUUUCAAGCAACCGAGCAGCAAGCGGCACUGGUUAAAGAUUUGUUGAACACCUUCGCGACGGCCACGGGCCAGUUGAUAAACCCUUCAAAGUGUUCCAUUCUUUUUUUCAGACAAUUGCUUGCCAACAGUUGUGGCAAAUAUUAA